ACCCGGCUGGCUCAGUUGGUAGAGUGUGUGAUUCUUUAUCUUCAGGUUGUAGGUUCAAGCCCCAUGUUAGGUA
rnacentral:tRNA from 1 species